rnacentral:rRNA from 1 species
CCUACGGGCGGCAGCAGUGAGGAAUAUUGGUCAAUGGGCGGGAGCCUGAACCAGCCAAGCAGCGUGAAGGAAGAAGGCGCCAGGCGUCGUAAACUGCUUUUGUCGGGGGACAAAGGGCGCCACGCGUGGCGUAGUGAGUGUACCCGAAGAAAAAGCAUCGGCUAAGUCCGUGCCAGCAGCCGCGGUAAUAGGGAGGAUGCGGGCGUGAUCCGGAUUUAUUGGGUUUAAAGGGUGCGUAGGCGGCCCGGAAAGUCAGCGGUAAAAGCCCGGGGCCCAACCCGGGCGUGCCGGUGAGACUGGCGGACUAGAGACGGCGAGAGGUAGGCGGAAUGCGCGGUGUAGCGGUGAAAUGCAUAGAUAUCGCGAAGAACUCCGAUUGCGAAGGCAGCGUACCGGCGCCGGACUGACGCUGAGGCACGAAAGCGUGGGUAUCGAACAGGAUUAGAUACCCCAGUAGUC